rnacentral:rRNA from 1 species
UACGGGGGGGGCGAGCGUUGUCCGAAGUUACUGGGCGUAAAGCGCGUGUAGGCGGGUUGUUAAGUCCGCUGUGAAAGCCCGGUGCUCAACGCCGGAGGGUCGGUGGAUACUGGCAGUCUUGAAGUGGCUAGGGGGAAAUGGAAUUACCGGUGUAGCGGUGAAAUGCGUAGAUAUCGGUAGGAACACCAGUGGCGAAGGCGGUUUCCUGGAGCUAACUUGACGCUGAGACGCGAAAGCUGGGGGGAGCAAACGGG